UCGUUAGAUUCAUUAGCUGGGAAAAUUUCUCCUCAUUGUUUUUGUCCAUGUUAAUUAAAAUCUUAUAUGUUACUGGUUUUCAUGAGCCAACAUGAACAAGAAAAAAUUGCUUAAGAAUUGGUAGGGGCUGCGCGAACGCAAGACCCCACUGCAACAAAUUAUGACGUAGGCUCGACCACUUGGAUCGACCUUAGGUAGGCACCCCUCCAAAGUGCAAUGGAGGUCACAAGCCUAGGCCAUGGGUCUUACUGAUCGCCCAUCGACCCCGUCCAGGUAAGUAUGUUUCUAGUUGCUCCUUCCUAUUCUUUUAUACCCAUCUUUAUACUUGUUUUUCUUGUCUCAACCGAUGAGGGAUAUAUUGUUACUUCAUCUCUUUUUUUCUCUUUUUUUUUUCCAUUUAAUUGCAAACAAGACAAAUUAAAAUAAACAUUAAAAAGCCCUUGUGAAUUUCAGUAUUGAGUAAAUUAUAACUUUUGGGAUGGUCCAAGUUCGAAAUCUCUUGCCAACAAAAGCAAGAGAUUUGUUUUCUGGAUCGAGCUCUCGUUGUACCUAACUUUCCCUACUGCGGAUUACCUCUCCUAUCUGUGGGGGUGUCAUUAGAAAAACACAAGUAUUGAGUAAAUCACAUGAUCCGAUUUUACUGACAAAGUCUAAGUGUCUAGUUCGUACUUAUCGGAUGUGUUCCUAGACAAAAAUAUUUUUCAUGAAAAAUAUUUUUCCAUCGUACCGACCACUCAUCUCAUACAACCGUCUCUUAAUCUUAAUGUCUUUGGUUAUGUGCUUGACUAAUUCUACUAUGUGGACCAAACCAAAGACAUACAAACUAAGUACCUUAGUAGAAGCAGAGCAUCAAUAUCCUAAAAGUAUGACAGAAUGUAUCUUAUACUAUUUACGAUAAUUCAAAAGUAUAUUGUAAUUUUUUCCUAAAGAAAAGUUAAACUUGUAUUGUUGGGGCUUUCAAUAAAGAAAACCCCUCCAAAAAUUGGCGUAUGCCACUAUUUGCAACACGCACACGGUAUUCUUUAGUAAAAGGCGAAAGAAUAGUUCGCUUUGUGCUCAUUGCGUGGCUGGGUAAGUUGUUAAGCCAAUCUGUGCUGCAUUUUUAUAUUGGGAUAAAGUUAGUUUUUACUUGUAUUUUAUCAAUGUGGUACUCUCUACACUCUUUUUUUCUCUCUUCUUUUUCAUCGCUCUUUGAUCGAAAAUCAUCAUGUUUCUUCUAUACUUUUAUUGUUCGAUUAAUUUAAGAUUUGUUUUCACUUCAUUUUCUUGGUGAUUCAGGAGAAAUAUAUGGUCACAAGUUAACUGAUGAAACGUCGCGUUAGGAUGUUUUGUACUUAGUACUCUUGAAUACUUGAAUUAUAGUCUGAAUUUUUGUUAAGGACAAUCAAAAUUCGAAAGAAAUCAACAAAUGAAUAAGCCAAGAGAAUUCAUCGCCUAUCAUACCCUUACUCUAUAAGUAUUUACGUUUUCAUCCAUUAAAAGAAUAUAAGAAACUAAUGUAUAAUCAACGUUUUUCAUUACCCUUACUCUAUAAGUAACAAAUUUGUUAUCAUACAAAAAUAAUUUCAAGUCCUCUAAAUAUUUUUCUUACAGAGUAAAGAAAUUGACACUUGAGAUAAAUAUUAACCAGUAAUGUGGAAGUUACUCUCCUAUUUCACAUAUACAAAACGACUUGACAAUGUUCACAUAGAUUAAUUACCUUUGCAUUAAAAAGAAAAGGAAUAUUUUCCACAAUAUUGUCAUUCAUCUUCUUAUUAUUUUUUGUUUCAUUUAUAUAUCAAACAAAUCUUUAUCAUACUCUUGCAUGGGAAAAUUAAACUUAACUACAAAAGUUUUUAAACUUAUAGGGUGUUUUUGGUACAAAGGAAAACAUUAAAACUAGUAUUGUUGGGGUCCUCUAGAGAAGAGAAUCCCUCCAAAAAUUGGCGUAUACCAUUGAUUGCAACGCGCGCGCACUGUAUUCUUUAGCUAAAACACUUCGAAGAUAUUCUUGACAUGUUGUGAUAUUGUUUGACUCAUUAGUUCCGUAGCUCGAGAAAAUUUCUCAUCAUGUAAAUAAUUAAUGAUACAAUUACAUAAAAGCUCAAAGAUACAAAAUAUAAAUCAACAAUGCGAAAACACACACAAAAAGAUUUGCUUUAAAUAUUGGUAGGGGCUGCGCGAACGCAAGCCCCCGCUGCAACAAAUUAUGACGUAGGCUCGACCACUUGGAUCGACCUUAGGUAGGCACCCCUCCUAAGUGCAAUGGAGGUCACAAACCUAGGUCAUGGGUCUUAUUGAUCGCCCAUUGACCUCGUCCAGGUAAGUAUGUUUCAUAUUGUUCCUUCCUAUUCUUUUAUACCCAUAUUUAUACUUGUUUUCUUUGUGUCAAUCGAUGAGGGAUAUAUUGCCCUUCAUCUCUUUCUUUUUUUUUUCAUUUUAUUAGCAAAUAAUUAUUUACCAUACCCAUGGGAAACUUAAAAUAAGAUUAAGAAAGCCCUAGUGAAUUUUAGUAUUGAGUAAAUCAUACCUUUCGGGGUGGCCUAGUAGUUUGGGCUUGAGACUUUUAUGUUGGAGGUUUCAAGUUCAAAAUCCUUCCCCUUGCCGGCGAUAGUAGAGUUUGCCUUGUGGGUCGAGCUCGUGGCGCUGGAAUGGCCUAGUAUGGGUUACAUCUCUUGUGUGAUUUAUGAGAAAUUGCAUAGAAGCAAGGUAUGGGGGUUUAUCUGUUACGUACCCAAAGUACCGGCUACGAAUUUUCCUUGUCAUUAAAAGAAAAGUAUCGAGUAAAAGACAGUCAAGUAUGUAGUUGUACUGAGAUUAAAGGUGCUAGUGUAGAAACUGAUGUUAACAAAAAUCUAUGCUUUACUACAAAAGUUGCUUUAACUUAUGUGUUCUUUGACCGAAAAUAUUUUUCAUGAAAAACAUUUCAUACUGAAUGUACGAACAUUUUCAUAAUGUUAUUUUCUCUUACUGAAUGUACGAACAUUUUCAUAAUGUUAUUUUCUCUUACUGAAUGUACGAACAUUUUCAUAAUGUUAUUUUCUCUUUUUCAUCUUCUUUGUGGCCUAUACACACUUCGACUACUUCUACAAUGUUCACCAAACCAAAAGAAACAAAUACUACAAUGUUCACCAAACCAAAAGAAACAAAUACAAACUACGUACCUUAGUAAAAGCAAUUUAAAUUUGAAUUUUUUGUAUUGUAACUCAAAUUUUGCUCAUACAUAAUACUAUAAAUUAUAUUAUAAGACAUACAAAAAAAUUUAAAACUAGUAUUGUUGGGACUUUCAAUGAAGAGAACCCCUCCAAAAAUUGGCGUAUGCCACUAUUUGCAACGCACACACGGUAUUCUUUAGUAAAAGGCGAAAGAAUAGUUCGCUUUGUGCUCACUGCGUGGCUGCGUGAGCUAUUUAGCCAAUAUGUGCUGCAUUUUUAUAUUGGGACAAAGUUUGUAUUUACUUGUAUUUUAUCAAUGUGGUACUCUACACUUUUUUCUCUCUUCUAUUUCAUCGCUCCUUUAAAUUCGAUCGAAAAUCAUCAUGUUUCUUUUGUAUACUUUGUUGUUUGAUUAAUUUAAAGUUUGAUCUCACUUAAUGUUGUUUUAGGUUGUUUUGUACUCAGUACUCUUAAAUACUUGAAUUGCAGAAUCUGAAAUUUUUACUAAGGACAAUAAAAAAUUUGAAAGAAAUAAACAAAUGAAUAAGCCAAGAGAAUUCAUCGUCUAUCAUACAUAUGAAAAAAAAAUUAACGUUAUACAUGCAAUAUAAUUUUCUUGUAAAUGAGGUUCAGAUGAAUCAAUCGUGCAUUGGUAGGUUAGAAAAAUAGAGAAAAACUUCUCAUAUUAGACAAAGUUAUAAAUCCUCAAAACAUAAAAAUAAUUGGAAGGAAGAUAGAGAAAUGAUGAGGAAAAAAAAAUAUUAUCACCCCAUUUUAAUAUAUGUAAACAAAAUCAAGAAAAUUAUGACGUAGACUCGAUCACUUAGGCAGAUUUUAAGUUGGUGCCAUUCUAAAGUGCAAUGAAAGUUACCAACUUAGGCCAUGAAUUUUAUGGGGUCACCCAUUGAUCCCGUCAAGGUAGGUAUGUUUCUUGUUGUUCCUUCCUAUUAUUUUAUAUCUAUCCAAAUCGAAGUUUUUUUUGUGUGUGUAUAGAUCGGUGAGCGACUUUUUGUGCUUGUUUUCUCCUAUUUGGUAAAUAUAACAUAUUCUUAUAAAGGUUAGAGACAUAUUAAAAUAGAAAUAUCUAUCUGAUUUUAACUAAGGUUUAGCACACUUUUUAGUGAAAUUAAAUUUUUAUAUACCUUUCACUAUAAGUGUCACACAUCUACCUAAGAAAUUGAAAAAUGAAAAAAGUCAAAUAUAAAAAUGUCAUAUCAUAAUAUAUACUUUAGUUUUUUGUAGACGGAAAAUUGACAAUAAUAUUAACAUGUCCCGUAUUAUUUCAUGAAUGAGAUUAAAAAAGAGUUUCAUUCAUAUUAUUACAAAUCGAAUAUAAUUAAAAUUAAUCGAAUCAAUAAAUAUCGAAUAUCUGAUAAUUAAAACAAAAAAAAAGAAUAACUUCUCUCAUAAGACAAAGAAGAAAAGUAUGUUAGUUUCAAUGCAAAUUGAACAAUGGUACUUCACAAUUUGUUGCACACACAAUAUUUUCAUGUUUAGAAACUUCUAUUUUGGUACACUACCAUCAUUUACGUGACGUUACGUUUAUCUAAACUUAUAAAUUGAUCAAAUUUAUUUAUUUCAAAUAAUUUAUUCAGAUAUAAUUUUGAGUUAUAAUUUGAAAUCGUUAUAGUUUGAAAUUGAUAUUUUAUUUAGAUUUAGAAGUACUACUUCUAUUCAAUAAUAGUUAUUCAUUAUUGACUUGACGCACUCUUCAAAAUAUUAUAAAUAAAAGUGUAAUUUUACUAUAUCACUCUUUGAAUAUAAAAAUGAAUAAAUUUUAGGAAUUAAAUAGUUUUAAUAUGAAAUUAAAAUAUCUCUCUCUUUAGUUUGUAAUUAUAUUAAUCUCUUAAAAAGUAACACAAACUGAAUACACUAAUAUGUAGCUCGGAUACAUUACAGAGUAUUCGCAUGCAUUAUAACAUAAAUCAGAUACAUAAUAUGUAGCUCAAAUACAUUAAAAACUAGUCCGGAUACAUUAUAUAAUAAUAGGGAGAAUGAUUAGUUAAGCCAAUAAAAAAAAGGUGAAGGAGAUAGUAAAUGAAAGAAAAGGACAUUUGUUUUUUUCUUCUAUGUGUUUAGCUCCCAAAUGAUAUCCUUAAAUAGGAAAAUUAUUUACAUUUUCAUCCAUUAAAAGAAUGUAAGAAACUAACGUAUAAUCUACCAAAGUAACUUCAAGUCUUCUGAAUAUUUUCUUACGAAGUUAAGAAAACUGACACUUGAGAUAAAUAUGAACCACUAAUAUGGAAGUUACUCUCCUAUUUCACAUAUACUAACGACUUAGCAAUUAUGUCCAAAUAGAUUAAUUAGAGAAAACUUAAAAGAUGUAACUUAUCCAUAGGAAUAUUAUCCACAAUAUUGCCUUUCAUCUUCUUACUAUUUUUUUGUUUCAUUUAAGUAUCAAACAAAUCUUUAUCAUAAUACUCUGGGAAAAACAUUAAAAAUAGUAUUGUUGGGUAACUCCUAAAUAAGAGAACCCCUCCAAAAAUUGGCGUAUGCCACUAUUUGCAACGCACACACGGUAUUCUUUAGUAAAAGGCGAAAGAAUAGUUCGCUUUGUGCUCGCUGCGUGGCUGCGUGAGUUCUUAGGGCUAAUCUGUGGUGCAAUUUUAUACUCAGACAAAGUAUGUGUUUACUCCUUGUUUAUCAAUGUGGUACUCAACUCACUCUUUCUCUUUGUUUGUUUUUUUCCUUCAACGUGUUCAAUCAAACAUUGCAAAUGGUGUUUUUCAACUGAUCGAUUCGAAAAAAAGAUAACAGUUGUGUUUGUUUAAAUUGCUUCUUCUAUGGUAUAAUCUAUGUUUUUUUAGACUCUCCAAAAAUGUUGAUACACUGAACUCGUCACCUUUUUUUCAUCGAGUUGCGUAUGGAAUGUUGUAUCUUUAAAGCAAAGGUUUUUAUAUCACUCCUUAAAUCAUUGGGCUAAAACAAUCCGAAAAUACUCUUAACAUGUUGUAAUAUUGUUCGUUAGAUUCAUUAGCUGGGAAAAUUUCUCCUCAUUGUUUUUGUCCAUGUUAAUUAAAAUCUUAUAUGUUACUGGUUUUCAUGAGCCAACAUGAACAAGAAAAAAUUGCUUAAGAAUUGGUAGGGGCUGCGCGAACGCAAGACCCCACUGCAACAAAUUAUGACGUAGGCUCGACCACUUGGAUCGACCUUAGGUAGGCACCCCUCCAAAGUGCAAUGGAGGUCACAAGCCUAGGCCAUGGGUCUUACUGAUCGCCCAUCGACCCCGUCCAGGUAAGUAUGUUUCUAGUUGCUCCUUCCUAUUCUUUUAUACCCAUCUUUAUACUUGUUU
rnacentral:lncRNA from 1 species